rnacentral:rRNA from 1 species
CAGCCGCCGCGGGAAUACGUAGGUGGCAAGCGUUGUCCGGAAUUAUUGGGCAUAAAGGGCUCGCAGGCGGUUUCUUAAGUCUGAUGUGAAAUCCCCGGGCUCAACCUGGGAACUGCAUUUGUGACUGGCAAGCUAGAGUCUGGCAGAGGGGGGUGGAAUUCCGCGUGUAGCAGUGAAAUGCGUAGAGAUGUGGAGGAAUACCGAUGGCGAAGGCAGCCCCCUGGGCCAAUACUGACGCUCAUGCACGAAAGCGUGGGGAGCAAACAGGAUUAGAUACCCCGGUAGUCCCUGUCUCUUAUAU